rnacentral:rRNA from 1 species
GACGAACGCUGGCGGCGUGCUUAACACAUGCAAGUCGAACGGAAAGGCCCUGCUUUUGUGGGGUGCUCGAGUGGCGAACGGGUGAGUAACACGUGAGUAACCUGCCCUUGACUUUGGGAUAACUUCAGGAAACUGGGUCUAAUACCGGCUAGGAGCUCUCGCUGCAUGGUGGGGGUGGGAAAGUUUCGGCGGUUGGGGAUGGACUCGCGGCUUAUCAGCUUGUUGGUGGGGUAGUGGCUUACCAAGGCUUUGACGGGUAGCCGGCCUGAGAGGGUGACCGGCCACAUUGGGACUGAGAUACGGCCCAGACUCCUACGGGAGGCAGCAGUGGGGAAUAUUGCACAAUGGGCGGAAGCCUGAUGCAGCAACGCCGCGUGCGGGAUGACGGCCUUCGGGUUGUAAACCGCUUUCGCCUGUGACGAAGCGUGAGUGACGGUAAUGGGUAAAGAAGCACCGGCUAACUACGUG